UUAUCAUGGAUCAUUUAAAGUUAACGGUGGAUAAGUUAUCGGUGGAUGCGGUGAGCGAGCUGGUGGUAGAUGACAGCUGCGGUGCAGUGUCUAUCUUUGUAGGAACUACUAGAGAUAAUUUUGAAGGCAAAAAGGUGCUACGACUGGAGUAUGAAGCAUACGAGCCAAUGGCGCUGAAAGCCAUGAAGGCCAUCUGUGACGAAGUUAGGAGCAAAUGGAGCGCUGUACAUAGCAUAGCUAUAUAUCAUAGAUUAGGCAACGUCCCUACCCGCGAGGCGUCCGUAAUCAUCGCAGUCUCCAGCCCGCACCGGCGCGACUCGCUCGACGCUGUCUCACUCUGCAUCGAGCUGUUAAAGGCUAAAGUGCCUGUGUGGAAGCGAGAGGUGUACGCGGACGCGGCGCCGGCCUGGAAGGAGAACCGAGAAUGUGACCCCACUCCACCCUCGCCUCCAGAGACAGUGGAUAAGAACCUUAUCCAAAUCAACGUGUCCACAGAAGAGCUGCAGAAACGUAUACAGAACUUCAUCGAGAGGAAGAGAGAACAGGUGAACAUAAGCAACAUCCACGACUUCAUACCCGGUGUAGAGGAGAGCGAGACAGAAGAUACAUGUGCGAGGGUGCGCACACAAUUUAUGAAGAGGAGUGACUCUAAGGGACAUUUAAAAAUCCGCAAGGUCCACAACGAAUGGGGCCCGCAAACGGUCUCCUCCCCUCCCCAACCCGCACCCCUGCCGGGCGCCAUCGCAGAAAGGGUCCUCAACAUAGAAAAGUUCCUCAACAUGGGGCCCGUGGCGCCCGACAUCUACAGGCGCCUGAAGGAGAUGGAAGACAGAAUAGCACAGCUGCAGGCUAUAUCGCCGGAGUAUGCGGACUUCUGGGUGAGUGGAACAAUACCUAUAUGUAUAAGAAAGGGUCCUUAAUAUAGAGAAGUUCCUCAACAUGGGGCCCGUGGCGCCCGACAUCUACAGGCGCCUGAAGGAGAUGGAAGACAGAAUAGCACAGCUGCAGGCUAUAUCGCCGGAGUAUGCGGACUUCUGGGUGAGUGGAACAAUACCUAUAUGUAUAAGAAAGGGUCCUUAAUAUAGAGAAGUUCCUCAACAUGGGGCCCGUGGCGCCCGACAUCUACAGGCGCCUGAAGGAGAUGGAAGACAGAAUAGCACAGCUGCAGGCUAUAUCGCCGGAGUAUGCGGACUUCUGGGUGAGUGGAACAAUACCUAUAUGUAUAAGAAAGGGUCCUUAAUAUAGAGAAGUUCCUCAACAUGGGGCCCGUGGCGCCUGACAUCUACAGGCGCCUGAAGGAGAUGGAAGAUAGAAUAGCGCAGCUGCAGGCCAUAUCGCCGGAGUAUGCGGACUUCUGGAAAACGCAAAAGGAUUGUAACGAGAGGGAGCAGAAACCAACCGUCGACUUCAUCUACUCGGCGGACGACAUCGCUCGCAAGAUCGAACAGCUCGAGAAAAUGGAGGACACGUGAAGCCUACAUUUGUGGUAUUCUCAACUAAAAGGGUACUUAUAGUCCGUCAAUAAGGCGCUAUUUCCAUAAAGCUUCUAUUUGAAAUCGACCUUAUUGACAACCGUUGAAGUCAUAGGCGUACCCAGUACCCACGGUGGGGCAAUGUGGGGCAGUUGCCCCAACCUGGUCUCUGACCAUAAGCUAAGUAUUUCUGUUUCAACCGUACCCUGUUACAACGUACCCAGCCUCCCCUACUUCUGCCCCACCCCUUAAAAAAUGCUGCGUACGCCCAUGGUCGAAGUGGUAUCUUUUUAUUGAAAACGUCACAUUUAUACAAUUACAAUAAUUUCAUUUUUGAAACUAGCUUUGAUCGCCGGCUGUGCUAUACUUUCACCACUUUCAAUAUUCAUCUGUAGCCGUACCACGAGUUGACACUUGAGGUUUACGUUAGCGAACUCGAUCGCAGUCCAUCUCGCUCGGUAUUGGUGCGAUAAGGAUCCCUCGAAGAUUAUCGCACCUAUGCGCUCGAGUUCACGCAGUCGCUAACGUAAAUGUCAAAUAACUCGAUCCUAAAGCUGGCCACUGACGAGUCUUCCAAAUAGAUGCCGUUACAAUGGAUUCAUCCAAAUGGACGGCAUCCUAUAUAUUAAACAUUGUACGUUUUUGACAUUCACGGACCGAUUUUGGAUUGCUACCACGCUAUUUGGACUGUUGGAAGGCUCAUCAGUGGCCACCUUUAUAGAGUAUAGAAUUAGAGUUAGACCAAGAUAAGUCUGCAACGAUUUUGACAGCACACGCAGUGCAAGUGUUAUUUAUACGUCAUAAUUUCAUAGAAGUUUGACAUUUAAAAUAAUUCUUGCAUGCGCGUUCUAUCAAAAUCGUUGCAGAAUUAUCAACACUUGCACUGCGAACUGUCUAAAUCGUUGCAGACUUAUCUUGGUUUCACUCUAGGCUUGAGACCUAUUAUGAUUAGACUAUAAAACACUAGGGCAUCUAGUUAAGGUUUCUAAUGUAUUUGAAAUAAAUAAGUUCAUUGGAUUAUUGUACAAAUCCAGACUGAUUACAUGUAUGAGGUAAAAAAAAUAAAAGAUGGUAAAAUUGUCUUACCAAUCUAUAUUUCACGUUUUAUUUACAAAUUCAUUUUAACAUCAAACCAUAUCACAUUCAGCGCCAAGAACCCGACUGUCGGGUACACUGUUCGUAGCGACUACGCGCACCAUACGUCGAAGACGUGGCUACGCCCUACGAGCGUAACCUGGAGCACUUAGUGGCAAAUUAGCAAUGAAUGUGAUAUACUGAUAUAUUAUGGUGUUAACCCAUUUGAUUGUGUAUAUAUACCAUCGUUCGCACCCCGUUAACCCUUUGACCACUAAACACGUCGGCUACAGCACAAUAUCAACCUCAUCAGCGAUAGGCGCCGAUCAAAGGGUUAACUAACAAUUCGUAAACCUAUCUAACAGUCAGUAUUAAAUACAGAUGUAGUGGAUAAUUAUUUUCCAUCGUAUUUUCAUGGAAAUUUACGAACGUCUCGGUACAAAAAGUACAUUGACUGAACUAGCAUGACAAAUACGAACGUUUCCGAGAAACUACGAUGGAAAACAAUAAUGCCCUACACUACCAAACCAGCCACGUACAUCGUAUAGUGCGACAUAAAAUUGUAAAAAAUAAAUGAGGGCGCCACUUUCUAUGUAACUGUCACAUUUUAGAUGUAAAACGCUUAAACAUGGCAACAAUUUGAUAUGGAUUUUUUUAGUUCCAUUUUAUUUAAAUUCUACUAUUUUUAUGUCGCCAAAAACGAUAUAUUUCGUAAUUUCGAUACUGACCGUACUAACCUAUUGCACAAAAAAUCUUGCCCAUAUUCUUACAACAGUAGCAGAAGUAAAUACACGGUCAAUGUACUGUAAAAUAUCUGAACACAAGGUAAUUUAGGUUUACACAGAUAUUUUUUUAAGUUACUUCUGCUGCUGAUACCCAUUACAAAUUAACAAAAAAAUAGUUUUAUAGUCUCGUCAUGUUAAAAUGAUCGUGAUCUUGGUAUCUUCUUGGGUCGUCCUAUUCGUUUUUCGUCAAGUUCUUAAAUUAGUCCUAUUCUGCUUUCGUCACGCAUUCUACAUUGAAAGCCACCGACGAUUGUGACGAAUGUAGAAUGGGUGACGAAUGCAGAAUAGGACUAAUUUAAGAACUUGACGAAAAACGAAUGGGACGACCCAAGACGAUACCGUGAUCUUAAAUGCAUAGUGAUGGAUACAGUGUACAGCCUACACGACAAAAACAUAUAAUUGUAUGCAUUUCAGGGUUAAAAAGGACCUUAAGGUGGCGGUGUUUAAAAAAAGAAAAUGUACUUAGUACGGAUAAAAUUUGAUAACUAGAUGACAGCAGAUAUCAAUCUUUUUAAGGUCCAUUAAAUCGUGACUGGAAUAAAUUAAAUUAGUAAGAAACUUCGAAACUCAGGACCGAUAUACAUAUAUACAAGUAAAUCUUGAAUAAAAUUAAAUAAACAACUAUAAAACUAUCA